AAACCAACAGGGAUUGCCUCAGUAACGGCGAGUGAAGCGGCAAAAGCUCAAAUUUGAAAUCUAGCACUUUCAGUGUUCGAGUUGUAAUUUGAAGAAAGUCUCCUUGAAUAGUCCUUUAUCUAUGUUCCUUGGAACAGGACGUCAUAGAGGGUGAGAACCCCGUAUGAUUUUGGAUCCUAUUCUCUGUGGGAGUCUUUCGAAGAGUCGAGUUGUUUGGGAAUGCAGCUCUAAGUGGGUGGUAAAUUCCAUCUAAAGCUAAAUAUUGGCGAGAGACCGAUAGCGAACAAGUACAGUGAUGGAAAGAUGAAAAGAACUCUGAAGAGAGAGUGAAAAAGUACGUGAAAUUGCUGAAAGGGAAGGGCUUGAGGUCAGACUUGGUGUUUAAUGAUUAUCUUCUUUUCUUAAGUUGUGCACUCGUUUUUCACUGGGCCAAUAUCAGUUUUUGUAGUAGAGCACCUCUUGAAAUGUGAUUUCCUUCGGGGAGUGUUAUAGUCUUGAGACGAUCUACUACGGGGACUGAGGACUGCGCGUUAUGCUAGGAUAUUGGCGUAAUGACCUUAAGCCGCCCGUCUUGAAACACGGACCAAGGAGUCUAACGUCUAUGCGAGUGUUUGGGUGUAAAACCCGUACGCGUAAUGAAAGUGAACGUAGGUUGGGGCCUUCGGGUGCACAAUCGACCGAUCCUGACGUUUUCAGAUGGAUUUGAGUAAGAGCAUAGCUGUUGGGACCCGAAAGAUGGUGAACUAUGCCUGAAUAGGGUGAAGCCAGAGGAAACUCUGGUGGAAGCU
rnacentral:rRNA from 1 species